UUCUAGGUUAGGAUGUCAGGCUCCUAGUACAGAUACAAAGGAGUCGAUGUCUUGGGAAGAAUGCCUGAAAUACUUUAGGGUCUGUGUGCUAUGGACCUGAGCAAAAUCAUACCUCAGUCAUGACCUUUAGUCACUGAAGCAAUGAUUACUGCUAACUUGACAAUAGGAUGGGCUUGGCGGAGGCGAUGUUUGUGCCAUAUUUGGAAGCUGGAAGAGAAGCAGUAGCCAUAUGCUCUGAAGGGCAGUGUGGCCCAGGUGCUGCCGAAGCUCCCCACGGGGCUGCUCAUCUGCUGACUCAGCGGUGGGCAUGGGGCCCCAGCUCCUGCCAGGACCUUGUUCAGCUCUUCCCAGCACUGUGCCAGCUUUUAUGGCCUAUGUGGCCUGUCAACCGACCUCAGGCCCACCCCUGCACCUGCGUGGCAUCCCAUAAACUCCCACAACGGACCAUGCUGUUUGAUUACUAUGGCUUUAAAAUAUAAUUUGAAGUCAGGAAGUGUGAUGCCUCCAACUUUAUACUUCUUGCUUAAGAUUGCUAGGUGCCUGGGUGGCUCAGUGGGUGAAAGCCUCUACCUUCAGCUCAGGUCAUGAUCUCAGGGUCCUGGGAUCAAGCCCUGCAUCAGGCUCUCUGCUCAGCAGGGAGCCUGCUUCCUCCUC